UGUCUCUCUAAAAUAAUAUUGGAUUGGUGCAAAAGUAAUUGCCAUUUUUGCCCUUGGAAGUAACGGCAAUUACUUUUGCACCAACCUAAUA
rnacentral:miRNA from 1 species